GGAAUAUUGGGCAAUGGACGAAAGUCUGACCCAGCCAUGCCGCGUGCAGGAUGACUGCCCUAUGGGUUGUAAACUGCUUUUAUAUGGGAAGAAACCUCUCUACGUGUAGAGAGCUGACGGUACCAUACGAAUAAGGAUCGGCUAACUCCGUGCCAGCAGCCGCGGUAAUCAGGAGGAUCCAAGCGUUGUCCGGAUUUAUUGGGUUUAAAGGGUGCGUAGGCGGGCUAUUAAGUCAGAGGUGAAAGUUUGCAGCUCAACUGUAAAAUUGCCUUUGAAACUGAUAGCCUUGAGUACAGUUGAGGUGGGCGGAAUGUGUCAUGUAGCGGUGAAAUGCUUAGAUAUGAUACAGAACACCGAUUGCGAAGGCAGCUCACUAAACUGUAACUGACGCUGAGGCACGAAAGCGUGGGGAGCGA
rnacentral:rRNA from 1 species